GCAGGCUGCAACCCGCCUGCAUGAAGUCGGAAUUGCUAGUAAUCGCGGAUCAGCAUGCCGCGGUGAAUACGUUCCCGGGCCUUGUACACACCGCCCGUCACACCAUGGGAGCCGGUAAUACCCGAAGUCAGUAGUCCAACCUCGUGAGGAGCUGCCGAAGGUAGGAUUGGCGACUGGGGUGAAGUCGUAACAAGGUACC
rnacentral:rRNA from 1 species